AGAGUUUGAUCCUGGCUCAGAAUGAACGCUGGCGGCGUGCGUAACACAUGCAAGUCGAACGAGAAAUUCCGGGCUUGCUCGGGAGAGUAAAGUGGCGAACGGGUGAGUAACGCGUGGGUAACCUGCCCCUGAAUCUGGAAUAACUUCGCGAAAGCGAGGCUAAUACCGGAUAUUGUCCCAGGGACCUCGGUCCUUGUGAUGAAAGAUGACCUCUUCACGAAAGUUGUCGUUCAGGGAGGGGCCCGCGUACCAUUAGCUAGUUGGUAGGGUAAUGGCCUACCAAGGCGAUGAUGGUUAGCUGGUCUGAGAGGAUGACCAGCCACACUGGCACUGAAACACGGGCCAGACUCCUACGGGAGGCAGCAGUGAGGAAUUUUGCGCAAUAGGGGAAACCCUGACGCAGCAACGCCGCGUGAGUGAAGAAGGCCCUCGGGUCGUAAAGCUCUGUCAAGUGGGAAAAAAGCUUACUGGUGAAUAGCCAGGAAGACUGAUGGUACCAUUGAAGGAAGCACCGGCUAACUCCGUGCCAGCAGCCGCGGUAAUACGGAGGGUGCAAGCGUUGUUCGGAAUUACUGGGCGUAAAGGGCGUGUAGGCGGUGUGGUAAGUCAGAUGUGAAAGCCCUGGGCUUAACCCAGGAAGUGCAUUUGAAACUGCCAUGCUUGAGUAUGGGAGAGGAGAGUGGAAUUCCCAGUGUAGAGGUGAAAUUCGUAGAUAUUGGGAGGAACACCCGUGGCGAAGGCGACUCUCUGGACCAAUACUGACGCUGAGGCGCGAAAGCGUGGGGAGCAAACAGGAUUAGAUACCCUGGUAGUCCACGCUGUAAACGAUGAGCACUAGGUGUAGCGGGUAUUGACCCCUGCUGUGCCGUAGCUAACGCAUUAAGUGCUCCGCCUGGGGAGUACGGCCGCAAGGCUAAAACUCAAAGGAAUUGACGG
rnacentral:rRNA from 1 species